rnacentral:rRNA from 1 species
GAUGAACGCUGGCGGCGUGCCUAAUACAUGCAAGUCGAGCGAACGGACGAGAAGCUUGCUUCUCUGAUGUUAGCGGCGGACGGGUGAGUAACACGUGGAUAACCUACCUAUAAGACUGGGAUAACUUCGGGAAACCGGAGCUAAUACCGGAUGAUAUUUUGAACCGCAUGGUUCAAAAGUGAAAGACGGUCUUGCUGUCACUUAUAGAUGGAUCCGCGCUGCAUUAGCUAGUUGGUAAGGUAACGGCUUACCAAGGCAACGAUGCAUAGCCGACCUGAGAGGGUGGUCGGCCACCCUGGAACUGAGACACGGUCCAGACUCCUACGGGAGGCAGCAGUAGGGAAUCUUCCGCAAUGGGCGAAAGCCUGCCGGAGCAACGCCGCGUGAGUGAUGAAGGUCUUCGGAUCGUAAAACUCUGUUAUUAGGGAAGAACAUAUGUGUAAGUAACUGUGCACAUCUUGACGGUACCUAAUCAGAAAGCCACGGCUAACUACGUG